rnacentral:rRNA from 1 species
GUAGUCCUAGCCGUAAACUCUCAGCACUGAAUUGAAGGGCCCCCCAUAGCCCUUCAGUUGAAGCGAAAGUGUUAAGUGCUGCGCCUGGGGAGUAUGGUCGCAAGGCUGAAACUCAAAGAAAUUGACGGGGGCUCACACAAGCGGUGGAGGAUGUGGCUUAAUUCGAGGCUACGCGAAGAACCUUAUCCUAGUCUUGACAUGCUUGGAUUAACCCUAGGAAACUAGGGCCACGCCUUCGGGUGGAACAAGCACAGGUGCUGCAUGGCUGUCGUCAGCUCGUGUCGUGAGAUGUCGGGUUAAGUCCCUUAACGAGCGAAACCCUUGUCUCUAGUUGCCAGCGGGUCAUGCCGGGAACUCUAGAGAGACUGCCGGUGUUAAACCGGA